rnacentral:rRNA from 1 species
AAGUCGAGCGGCCCUUCGGGGCAGCGGCGGACGGGUGAGUAACGCGUGGGAACGUGCCCUUUGGUACGGGAUAACUGAGGGAAACUUCAGCUAAUACCGUAUGUGCCCUACGGGGGAAAGAUUUAUCGCCAUUGGAGCGGCCCGCGUUGGAUUAGCUAGUUGGUGGGGUAAAGGCUCACCAAGGCUACGAUCCAUAGCUGGUCUGAGAGGAUGAUCAGCCACACUGGGACUGAGACACGGCCCAGACUCCUACGGGAGGCAGCAGUAGGGAAUCUUGCGCAAUGGGCGAAAGCCUGACGCAGCCAUGCCGCGUGAAUGAUGAAGGUCUUAGGAUUGUAAAAUUCUUUCAACGGGGNAAGAUAAUGACGGUACCCGGAGAAGAAGCCCCGGCUAACUUCCGUGCCAAGCAGCCGCGGCUAAUACGAAGGGGGCU